ensembl:snRNA U6 U6 spliceosomal RNA
GCUCUGGCUUCGGCAGCACAGAUACUAAAAUUGGAAACGAUACAGAGAAGAUGAGCAUGGCCCCUGCAGGGGUGACAUGCAAAUUCGUGAAAUAUUCAAAAAAAUU